GGCCCAGUAGCGGACGGUAUCCGCGUCUACGAUGAAUAGGAAGGCGGGAAAUUUGAAUGUAUGCAGAUAAUCGCUCGUUCGACUCGAGCCUGGGCCG